rnacentral:tRNA from 1 species
GACCUCGUAGCUCAGUUGGUAGAGCAUUGGCUUGCUAAACCAAAGGUCGCGGGUUCGAUUCUCACCGCGGUCA